rnacentral:lncRNA from 1 species
AUUACAUUCAUUGACAGUUUCUAGUUUCUAAUUACACGCCAGGUCAGUUUCCACUCCUAGGACACUCUAUGUAAACUAAGCCCACUUUCAUUCUUUCUCUUCUAACUAAUUUAGUUUCUAUUUAACGUAACUUGGAAAAGAAAAGAUAUUAUUUUAUUAACUAGACCAAACAUGAUUUGACACAUAUCUACCUCUAAUUUUAACCGUUAGAUUUAUUGAUCUAAAGUCAAUACCAAUGAUCCAGAUUUCAUCUCUUACAAAUCAUUAAGUGCUUGUUUCCUUGUCUAUAAUCAUUAAGGACACAACACAGAGACAAAGAAGAGGACAACGGAGGGGUAAAUGAACGAAGACGUAGGCGACGGAGGUGAUGACGGUGACAGAGACGAUGACGGUGUCUACGAUGGCGUAGACGACAAGGACUUUGAGGACAACAAUGGAUACGUAAACCACAUCAGCUUAGAAGCUCAUCUCUUUUGUAAAUUUCAAGCUCGGAGAGAAAAAGAUCCACUGUUGCAAGCUUGAAGAGACAUAGAUCCAUGGCUCAAUCCGUCGUUAUCCACGGCGGUUUAACAUCUCUCUAACAUAAUACACGGCUAGGAAAAGCUCCAAUCCGCCAUAGACUUCUUUAUUCUCAACGAUUUAAGGUUGUCCACACGACCUUAUCAUGCCACUAGGACCUUCUCUCACCAACCGAACCUUCUCUUGCCACAAUCCUCUGCUUUGAUUGAGCUCCUCUCAUGACGAACUGAGAUCGAUCGUUACCACAACAACUUUUAUUUCCACUUUAAACAUCUCAUGUGUAGAUUUGUUUUCAAUUAUACCCCAAACUCUUGAAUAUAAGGAUUUUCCUCUUUAUUUGACCCUAAAAUUAAAAUAUGCACUUUAGCCCUUGGUAUAUCCAAAUGAACACACAAUUAUAAUAUAUAUAUUACUAAAUGUAAUCUAAAAUAAGUUAAAUUAACUAAAAUAAGUGCUAAAAACCAUUAAAAUCUUAAGAUAUAAAAUCAACCGAAUGCAAUGUC